UACAUCUUCCUGGAGUAUGGGGCUCCCACUCAGGCUCUGGAGGCAGUGAAGAACGCUGACGGCUACAAGCUGGACAAGCAGCACACCUUCAGAGUCAAUGUGUUCACCGACUUCGACAAGUACAUGAGCAUCUGUGACGAGUGGGAGACUCCUGAGAAGCAGCCCUUCAAGGACUUUGGUAACAUGCGUCACUGGAUGGAGGAUCCUGACUGUCGUGACCAGUACAGCGUCAUCUACGAAUCAGGAGAGAGGACCGCCAUCUUCAACAACGACGCCAAGGAUCCAAUCGUCUCCGAGGAGAGGGCGCGCUGGACAGAGACCUAUGUCCGCUGGUCUCCCAAGGGAACCUACCUGGCCACGUUCCACCAGCGAGGCAUUGCAUUGUGGGGGCGGAGAGAAGUUCAAGCAGAUCCAACGUUUCAGCCACCAGGGAGUGUCUCUGAUCGACUUCUCCCCCUGCGAGAGGUACGUGGUGACGUUCAGUCCCCUGAUGGACACUAAGGAGGACCCCCAGGCCAUCAUCAUCUGGGACAUUCUGACUGGCCAGAAGAAGAGAGGUUUCACUGUGAGAGCUCCGCCCACUGGCCCAUCUUCAAGUGGAGUCACGAUGGGAAGUUCUUUGCCAGGAUGACCCAGGACACACUGAGCAUCUACGAGACCCCAUCCAUGGGCCUGUUGGAUAAGAAGAGUCUGAAGAUCAGUGGUAUCAAGGACUUCUCCUGGUCCCCAGGCGAUAACAUCAUAGCGUUCUGGGUCCCCGAGGACAAAGACAUCCCAGCCAGAGUGACUCUGAUGCAGCUUCCCUCCAGACAGGAGAUCAGAGUCAGGAACCUCUUCAAUGUGGUGGACUGUAAACUCCACUGGCAGAGACAGGGAGACUACCUCUGUGUCAAGGUGGACCGGACACCUAAAGGAACUCAGGGUGUGGUGACCAACUUUGAGAUCUUCAGGAUGAGAGAGAAGCAGGUUCCUGUUGACGUGGUGGAGAUGAAGGGAGACCCGGAAUCUAAAACUGCGGAGAGCAUCAUAGCGUUUGCGUGGGAGCCCAACGGCAGUAAGUUUGCCGUCCUGCACGGUGAAUCUCCCAGAAUCAACGCCUCGUUCUACCACGUCAAGAACAACGGGAAGAUCGAACUCAUCAAGAUGUUUGACAAGCAGCAGGCCAACAGCAUCUUCUGGAGUCCUCAGGGACAGUUCAUGGUGCUGGCUGGACUCAGGAGUAUGAACGGGGCCCUGGCGUUUGUGGACACCUCUGAUUGCACCAUGAUGAACAUGGUUGAACACUACAUGGCCUCUGACGUAGAGUGGGACCCUACGGGACGAUACCUGGUGACCUCUGUGUCCUGGUGGAGUCACAAGGUGGACAAUGCCUAUUGGCUGUGGACCUUCCAGGGCGUCUCCUCCAGAAGAACAACAAGGAUCGUUUCUGUCAGCUACUCUGGAGACCUCGGCCUGCUACUCUGCUCACACAGGACUCCAUCAAGGACCUGAAGAACCCCUCUAAGCUCUUUGAGCAGAAGGAUCGUCUGAGCCCCCGAAGCUCCGAGGAGCAUGACGGAGGACUACCGCGCAGCUACCGGGAGGAGGUACGUGAUAACCCCCCCCCCCCGCAGCUCCGAGGAGGAGUGGACACUGACGAGCUGGACAGUAACACAGAUGACUGGGAGGAGGAGACCAUUGAGUUUUUUAUCAACGAAGAAAUCAUUCCCCUCGGAGAGUAGUCCCCUACGCAGGUCCAUUUUUGCGUGGGGACUAGAGGGGAGGGGGGGCGUUGCCUUGUCGACUGGAGGAGGGAAAACUACGCUGAGAAUCUUGGGAGUCGCCAGAGUUCCACCAUUCUCUCUUUGUGACAUCAUCAAAGCGUGCCUUGUGGUGUAGCGACUACAGCAAGCUAACAACUGAGGGAGGGGAGAGGAAACCAACUUUUAAACUCUUCAUUUUUUUAUUCAUCACCUUGGUCUUUUUCUGACACUUUUUUGAAAUAGAACAAUACUGUCGUUUUUUUUUUUUCUUCUCAUAAUCUAUCCUCGCUCACUCACUUUCUAUCCUUAUCUUGACUACACACACCCCCCUUGCAGUCUUUAACCGUCGUUACCGUGGCAACGGUCACACCUUACCAUAACGAGGAGACGGAGACCACCACCACCGGGAGGGAUGAGGACUGGGUGUGUGACGUGGCAGUGUGUGUGUGAGGCUAGAGAGGGUGUUCUCCUGAUGACCAAACGUUCAAGGCUGUGUUGCAGUAGUAGUAGUAGUAGUAGUGUGUUGAAGUGGCGUUAUCCUCCUCCGUUUAGACUACCUGACGUUGUUGUUGUUGUUGUUAUCAUACUAGACCACAACUAUCACAUGAUCUUCCACGGCAAUAAAGAUAAACGUCAUACAAAUCA